AAACAAAACAAAACAAAACAAGGAAAAAAAAAAGGCCCAUUUUAUACUUGGACAAAUGUUUCUGUGAAAAGAAUGAUGAAAUUUUUCUGGAAUACGGUCUGGAGCAUGGAGAAAGAUGAAGAGACAACAUGAAACAGCAACAGUAUAUGCAUCAUGUACUGUAAUUCAUCUCUGUAAUUCAAAUAUGGGAUGUACCUCCAAACCUACCUGCCUGCCUACCUCCUUCUUCUGCCUCUCUGGAUUUACAGCUUCACUUGCAGAGACUAAAGCAAAGAGCAGUGAGAUGAACAAUUGUAUUGCCUUUUCUGUGACAGAACAGACCACCCAGCUGUGCAGCGCAGUCUCUGCAAUGCUGCGAUCACCAACAUGCUGCACAAGAUUGCAGCUGCUUUUUCCACCUGUUUCUCUUCUGAGAAUUAGCAUCUCAAACCAUAAAAAUGCAGGAAAUCGAUGUGAGUAGCACAAAACAUGUUUGUAAAAGCAAAUGUUUCACCUCCUGGAAAAGACGUGUGAAGUAAGACUCCCUGAUGGUUCAAGUGUUUAUUUUUAGACCUAAUACAGAUGUGUCCAAACUGUUGGGAACUUUGUUAGGAUACUGAGAUAUCCAAACUGCCUGUGAAUAAGAAGCAGGGUAAGCUCCAAGCUUCCAGACAGCACAAGAAAUAUCAAACAGUCAAACCUGAGGGUAAGGAGUUGGGGCUGGUCCAGCCCUACCCUGGGAAGGUGAGUAAAAGAUGUGGAGCUAGGCAUCCUGGCAGGGUUUGGGCUUGUGAAAGAGUGAGAGAGUGAGGUGGUGACGGCUGCUGCUCGAAUAGUCUGCUGCUUCUUGGCAAUGCUGCCCCGCACGUCUGACUCCACCCUGCAAUACCGGAACAGCCCUCACUUUCCAGGGCUCUGGCACAGGCAAAGCGGGCAACAGAACCACAACUAUGCUGUGUUCCCAGAAAUCUGCAGCCAGAGGCAAGUGCCUGCUGUGUCUUUGCCUGGAGAAAGCCCUUGAGGAAAAUGUAACUCACGCAGUAAAUGCAAGAUACUGUGGCUAGGAGUCUUCUAGUGCCCGCAGCAGCGCUCUUGGAGCUGCUCGAGGGAUCUCCAUCGCACGGCGCACGACACUGCUGUUGUAACAGCUGCUCCUUGUUCGGUGGGGACAGUGCCAGUACUUCACUGGAGCCCUGCAGCAGUACAUACAGAGCCAGUAUAUUUACAGUUCUCAGGAACUCGCAGUUCCCUCCAAGUGGAAAAUUCAUGUUAUUCUAUGUUUUACACGGUAUCAGUGCUAAAAGACAUUAGAACCCUUCCAUCCCUUUUACAGCUACAUCCAGUCUUUGCUAUUUUCUAUAUAACUUUAUACUGAUUAUUUUCUUUACAGCAUUACCCAGUACAAAAAGACAUAAUACACACCAAAAUAAUAGGAAUACUCAGAUAGGGUGUUGCUUAGUGAGUAAAGAAGGUUGGUCCCAGUUUUACAGGAGGGGAUUUGAAAGGGAAAGUUACAUCAUGUGCAGGCUAAGGGAGGGCUUUUACAAAGGGCAGGAUGGGAAAUGAGGCACUGGAGAGAGAUAAUGGCAAAGGAGAAAUGGAAUUAGCAGGGCCCAGGCAGUGCAGAGGAGUGACAGGUGAUGAGUCGCCCUGGCGAGAGGAGCAGAGCCUCACAAAAGGGACCCAGGCUUUGAAAGCCUUGCAGAAGAACAUUUGGGCUCAGAGAUUUGGGCUCUGAGAGUGUGUGUGGAGAGAGUGGAAAGGACAGGCAGGAUAUAUGAGCACUGCUCCUGAGGACAUCCGUAGUUCCAAAGGUUUAACAGAUCACAGGCAACAGGAGCAUAUAUGCAGCUCUUGUAAUAAAGCAUGUAAAUGUGCAAGCCACAUGAUCUGAAAUACAACUGCAUGUAAAAAAAAUUGUUGCCUGCUAUACAAUCUAUAAUAUAUCAAACUCUAGUAAUACAUAUAUACCUAUAUAUAUAUAUAUAUUCCCAUGUUACCUCUGUUAGCUAGACUUUUUUUCAACAUGGCACAGUUAAAACCACCAUCACACAAAUAGAAAUGCAAUUAAGCCAUUUCACAAAUAAUUUAUGUCUAUUUAAAUGGAAGCUUCAAUCCCAGUAAAGUUUUAGGAACUGACAGCUCAAUCUAGGCAGCAUCCCUGCUGCUGUCUCCCCUCUCCACUGGUUGGGAUCACUCCAGUAGCAGCACUGGUAUUUUAAUGUACCCCACCAAUGAAAAUAGACUGGAGAUAGCACAGCAGGCUGUGCACCAGAGUGGCAGGAGUGAAGACCCACCUAAAGACCCACUUUGUCCUGCCACCCCUUUUUUGCUAGCAGAGACUGUGAGCAGAGGCAUGAGAAACCAGAGGUUUCAACACCUGGAAGAGAUGCAGUGAGACCCAGCAGAAUUUGUUUGUGCCACAGUAAGUUACACACCACAGCUCCGCCGACCCAUCCCUCCUACCCCCCGCAACUGCCCGUGCAUACAUUUGCAGUGUGAUGUCUCCAGCCAAAAAUAAACAGCAUUGUGUACAUAAAAUCUGAAAGCAUGCCGAGUUAGAAAAUGUGAUUGGCCCUUUAUUAAUAUUUACAGUGACUUUAAAUUAACAGCAUUUCUUCUGCCACUCAUCUGUCGAGAAGUCUGCUGUAGGAGAAGCCCGAUAAGCUGCGGGGAAAGCACUGGUGUUUGAAGACGAUUUAGUCCAAAGCGGAAAACUGAGAUAUUUUGAGGCAUUACAUUGUAUCUCCCUAUUCCACCACAGCCCUCACGCACGCAUGUUUCGAUAAAACUGCGCCGCGGAGCUCUAAUUGCAUUGUGGCUUUUUGAUGUCUACUCAAACAACAUUAGCUUUGCUGUCAUGUUUUACAAUGUAAAAAAUUUUGGUGAAAAUGUCAGCAGGAUGGUAUCUUUAAUCAUAUUUAUUGAUUGACCUCAAAAGACACAGUGCAAUUUAACUGGAACCCCUCAAUGCAGCCAGGGUCAGGUUCAGACAGUGCCUGUUCCUAACACUGCCUGGAGCCCCAAUUUCAUGAGUAGCUUUUAUGUCUAGUGUCCUUGAAGUCGCUUGACAUCCCUUCUUUCAGCCCUUCCUUAUUACAGCUAAUGCAAUACGCUGCAUAGCUAGAGACGCUUACUUCUAGAGAAUACGAGGGUUUAAAAGGUAAUCUCUGGAGUAGGAAAUGCAUCUGUUCAUCAGUGCCAGCUGCAGUUUGCUGUUCUCUGACCAGUCCGAGACGUGAUGGGACCCCCGCACAGCCCGGCGUGGGAAGGCGCAGUCUGAUCCCCAAACCCGUCGCAGCUGUGCUGUCCAGCCGUCCCACAGGGACACGUUGAUCCCAGCUCUUUGCGCGCAGCCGGCGUUUGUCGCCUGUGCCCAAAAGCCGGGGCAGCAGCGCUCCUGGCAGCGCAGGACGGGGUUGAAGUUGGCUCACGCCCCGCUUGGCCGCUGUCUCCAUCCUCGGGGCUCGGAGGCUGGCGAGAAGCACCCCGGGGAAGGGCCGGCUGCGGGGCACCGGGGGAAGGACCUGUCACACACACAAGUGCCUCGCCCGCACGGCACGGCACAGCCCCGGCAGGGCAG
rnacentral:lncRNA from 1 species